UUUUCCUACGGGGGGCAGCAGUGGGGGAUAUUGCACAAUGGGGGGAACCCUGAUGCAGCGACGCCGCGUGGGUGAAGAAGCGCCUCGGCGCGUAAAGCCCUGUCAGCAGGGAAGAAAAUGACGGUACCUGAAGAAGAAGCCCCGGCUAACUACGUGCCAGCAGCCGCGGUAAUACGUAGGGGGCAAGCGUUAUCCGGAUUUACUGGGUGUAAAGGGAGCGUAGACGGCAGCGCAAGUCUGGAGUGAAAUGCCGGGGCCCAACCCCGGAACUGCUUUGGAAACUGUGCAGCUCGAGUGCAGGAGAG
rnacentral:rRNA from 1 species